GGUUGUGGUUCAGUGGUAGAGUGCUCACCUAGCAUGUGCGUGAGGCCCUGGGUUCAAUCCUUAGCACCA
rnacentral:tRNA from 1 species